AAUGGAUCGUCAUGCAAAGGAGGACACACCGACACACACACACAAUGCUGUGAUAUUAACACUGUAUCCGCCUGGGUUAUUGAGGUAACAACCACACAAGUUUAUUGUGAUCCAGCUUGGAAAUCCUUUAUCUUUCGGGCUUCAUUUUUCUCCUACAGACUGUUGGCCCUAACAUCAGAGACGAUGACAGAGAUAUGUCUAUACCUGGACUGCUUCUCCGAGGAGAGGAAACUGUACACGGCAGAAUCACUGAACGACCUCCACAAGGUGAACGUGUGCUCCGACCCCAAGGACCUGCUGAAACUCAUAGAUACAGGAGGCCAGGGUGCAUUGGAAGACACCUGUGAGUGAGCAGCACGAGCCAGCUAGCGCUCUGGCAGUGGAGCCAACGCCUCAGCGGGAACCCGACUUUAUCUCCUCUUUAGAAACAUUUCCUAGGAGCCCAAAACACAGCCAACCUGACAGAAAGGGAGAGAUACAGGGCCAAUACUGGAGUUUACUUACAUCAUGUGCUGAACACCCUUUCAUUCCCUUAAUAUGCUG
rnacentral:lncRNA from 1 species